GCCUUUAGUCUGAUUUUUGCCAUAUGCUGAUCUUGGGAGCUAAAUAGGUUGGCUUGUACUUGGAUGAGAGACCACCUGAAAAUACCAGAAGCUGUAGGCU
rnacentral:rRNA from 1 species